CAUCAUCUCAUUCAUUUCCAGCAUCAAGGUAGACUGCUGUAUCUGCUCGGCCUGGAUAGCUCUCAUGGUCUCCCAAGUUUCAUUGACCCUCAUCUGGAUACCGUCCACCCGACCAACAUACAUGUUCAACCGUCCAUUCAUGAUAUCAACUUCCCGUCGCAUGACUGUAGCAUGAUCCCUAGCAUCUCUGAUGUAGUUCAACGCAAGGUGAUUGUCUCUUUGUAAGCUUCCUAAUUCAGUCCUCAUGUUGCCAAAAUUUUGAAAGAAACUGUGAAGGUCCCAGCUAAUGCCCGUGGUGGUGGAGAAAAUCUGUCUCAGCAACUGAUUAUCCAUUUCAGCUUGUGGUACUGGAGCCCAUGGGUGGUCCUGAUCUUCAGGGAUUUGACCUUAUUCUACCUGCUGCCUACGUCGCUUAUUUUCCUGCUCUUCCUUGUGCUUAACCCGAGCCCUUGUCUGAGCAUCAAAUGUAGUUCUUUUGAUCAUUGGGCUGGAUUUUUCAGGUAACUCCUCAGGUAAGAGGGCAACACCCGCAGCCCGACAUAUGCCACUAAUGAGGCUCGGGAAUAUCAAAGUGGUGCGUCGAUCCCUCCAAGUCCCCAAUGAGUGUAGUUGCUUGUAUAUAUGAGUAGUGAGGUCAAUUUUGUUACCUCUAGCCAAGUGGUAAAUGAAACCGGCUGUUUGAUCUGGGAAUGUAGUCCUGUGUGAUAUCGGGUCAACAUUGUGGCACAUAAAGAGCCAUAGAAUGGCCAUGGAAGGAGUAAGCUCAAUUUGAUGCCACUCGGUAGUGUCGAGGGGCCAUGCAUUCUCUCGCCCCAUUAAAACCUCAGCCACCUCAUUCCAGUGAAAGUCAAUUGGGAGACGGACCACAUUCUCCAUUGUAAGCUAGUAGUAAUCAUGAAUGACCUCUGGAGAGAACAUAAUCCAUUUUCCCCGCACCCAAGUCUGAUGGAAAUGCUCGGAGCCUGGCGUGUCAAUGUCAUUGUUGAAGUUAGCGAAGAACUCUCGGCAUAAAGUCUCAUAGAGUGGAUGCAGUCUCUCCACUAACUUUUGCCAUCCACGGAGCUGAAUUAAAUUGACCAACUCAAAACCCGGGAAGUCAUCAAGCUUAACUGGUCUUUCAGCAUGUAAAGUCCAAUGGCGUACGAUGUUUUCGUAUCGUGCCGCAGUAGUUGCAGUUAAGAUUCGCUGAACUUCGCCCCGAGCUCUCGAGUGCGGGCUGUUCCGGUGGAGGAGCUUGCCUUUUCCUUCCCGCGCACUGUUCUUUUAGGAGGCAUUCUGCAAAAUUGGUAAGAUUAUACUCAUUAAUUCUAUGUGAAAAGCAUAGGCGGGAAAUGAGAAAAAAAUAAAACAUGCAUUGCACAAAUUCCCUGAACUUUCCUAGAUGCAUGUGUAGUGAUAUGGUGUACACUAGUCAGGCUAUGAUGUUUAAUUGAAUUCAUGUAUUUUGCCUAUAAGAAAAAUGGGGAAAAACUCGGUGUAACUAAACAACAUUUCAGAAUUUGGAACCAUGACCAAGUGCAAACUUUCGGCCCUUGAUAUCAUUGAGAAUUAUUAAAAUUGUCCGGACAAUCUCCGGACAUAUCAAAGUAUUCAUUGAAGUGUAGCACAUACUCGAAUUUCAAAUCAAUUGGAGGUUGU
rnacentral:lncRNA from 1 species